UACGAAGGGGGCUAGCGUUGCUCGGAAUCACUGGGCGUAAAGGGCGCGUAGGCGGGCUGUUAAGUCGAACGUGAAAUCCCCGGGCUCAACCCGGGAACUGCGUCCGAUACUGGUAGGCUUGAAUCCGGGAGAGGGAUGCGGAAUUCCAGGUGUAGCGGUGAAAUGCGUAGAUAUCUGGAGGAACACCGGUGGCGAAGGCGGCAUCCUGGACCGGCAUUGACGCUGAGGCGCGAAAGCCAGGGGAGCAAACGGG
rnacentral:rRNA from 1 species